rnacentral:rRNA from 1 species
AUUGUACGCUGGCGGCAGGCUUAACACAUGCAAGUCGAGCGGGGAAAGGUAGCUUGCUACCUGACCUAGCGGCGGACGGGUGAGUAAUGCUUAGGAAUCUGCCUAUUAGUGGGGGACAACAUUCCGAAAGGAAUGCUAAUACCGCAUACGCCCUACGGGGGAAAGCAGGGGAUCUUCGGACCUUGCGUUAAUAGAUGAGCCUAAGUCGGAUUAGCUAGUUGGUGGGGUAAAGGCCUACCAAGGCGACGAUCUGUAGCGGUUCUGAGAGGAUGAUCCGCCACACUGGGACUGAGACACGGCCGAGACUCCUACGGGAGGCAGCAGUGGGGAAUAUUGGACAAUGGGGGGAACCCUGAUCCAGCCAUGCCGCGUGUGUGAAGAAGGCCUUAUGGUUGUAAAGCACUUUAAGCGAGGAGGAGGCUACUGAGACUAAUACUCUUGGAUAGUGGACGUUACUCGCAGAAUAAGCACCGGCUAACUCUGUGCCAGCCGCCGCGGUAAGAC